CGGUUUACUAAGCAGAGACUUGCGAGGCACACAGAGAGGGAAUGAGGCGGAACCGUUCGGGGGCUCGUUGACACUGCAGAGCCUCCCGCAGCAUCGCUGCCUUAAAUCCCGCCUUUCCAGGCGUGCGCGCACAGCGAGCCAGAGGAGGCUCCGUCCCGACCUGGGGUCCCCCGCGGUCCUCAGCCCGGGGGCUCGGGUCCCCGAAGAGAUCCUUGGCAAUGGCAGAGGUCCCAAAGCCUAGAUGCCAAGCCCCGCGAUGGGGCGGAUGCUUCCAAUAUUAGUCAACCCAGAGUGAAACUCUCUUCUUGGAGAUCGUCAGACCAACUAUUUGUUUUUCCUCUUUGACCACCCCUGGGCUAGCAGAGCACAGCUAGCAGCUUCGGCAUAUUUGGCGGAGCCGGGAAGGCCCGGAGCGCAAGAAGGCAUCGCAGCCUCGCAGCAGAUCUGAAAGGGUUGUGGGCGGGGGGCUCAUUUUCGCCGGAUUUCUUUUCCGUGUUUAAGUUUUCAAAACUAAAACCUGUCAUCGGUUACCCUGAUGUAGAGGGCAUCUUCUGAAAAUUAGUGCAAACAUGGCCAAGGUGCUUGGUUCUGAAAGGGAAAGCACUUAGAACACUUAAGAAAGGGAAAAUAAUUUUAAAAGAGCAGUUUUCUGAGAUUACUUCUUUGGGGAGAAGUUCAAUAGUCAUAAAUGACAAGAGAGUUGUGUUAUAUAGCAGGGAUUUUUUUUUAACCAGAUGAUCUUAAAAUAUUUUUCUUUGGUUCUUGUCUCAGAUGAUUGACACUACGUAAAUAAUCCUGCAGCUGUUAAUGUCUUGGCAUAAUCGUCUAGAAUAAAUAUCUUAACGUCCAGCCAAAGCCAAUGUUGUUCUCCCAGGGUGGGCUUCAGAUGUGACAAACAAUCACACCAUCCUAGAGCUUUCUAAGGGAGCAGGCUGUGUUUUUAAGCACCUUGGAAUGUAGAGUUAUUGCAAGCACCAGCACAUUUGAGGUACCAGCGUGAGAAAGGGCAUAAAUCUGACUUACAGUUUUUGUAUUUUUAGAAUCCAAAUAUCUUCACAUCCAGGUCGGCAGUCUCAAUACUAAGAACAAACGUUUAUUGGUGUGCUUAUUCUUAAAACUGUACCUUAUUUGAAGUUGCUACAGAAGGACAGCACCAAAAUUCAAUCAUUUUAACCCAAAAGAACAUGAGCUAUGAUAAUUGCUUAAAUUAUCUUUCACAAAAUUAUGAUCUUAAGGUCUCUUGUCAUCAAUAAAGGUUAUGUUGAAAACACGUCUUUCACAAGUCCCUGAAGGUCAGUAAGAUGGAGCUCUGGCAGACUGGGACAAGCAGGAAAUUCCAGAGGCAAAAACCUUCCAUGAGAAAAACACCCAGCUUCCAGUGCCAUGCACUUCAGAGUUGGGACAGCGUGGUUGUCGAGGUUGCCUCUGAGCUCAGGUAAGUAUUGAUAUCUCCAGGAAUCUAAGAUGCAGAGAAAGGGGUGAGGGCCCCUUAAAGUCUCCAGUCAACACCUUGGAUUGCACUUGGAGGCAAAUGAGUAACCUCUGCAGAGUGGAACACCUGUGAGAAGUGUUCUCCGUGGCUUGCACAGUUUAGCAGCAUGUGCAUUUUUUAUGUCCUGCAAACUGCAACUAUAUCCUUCCCUCCUCCCUGUCUAUUUUUAAUCACCUAUAGCUAAGACUCACGGCAGAGAAUAAUUUGAGGGUUGCAUUUCCUAACAGCUGAAAGAAGCAUAAAAUACAUGCAGACAACUCCCAAUUAUUCACCUGUGACAUAACUGACUAAGAAUCCUGCCCUUCACGUCCUUAGCCAAGGCAGGAUUAAGGCCUCUGGAGCCCCAAGCACAAAACAAUUGCAGUGCCUCCUUUGUAAACGCACUUCAAUAUGGAAACAACAUUAAAUUUAAAAACACAAUAUUUAAAUAUAUAGAGAAAAAACAGCUUCUGUCUCGAUUUUCUGAUGCAAAUGUGUUUCUAUUGUAUAAUUUGUCAUUGAACAUGCCUUUACAGUGUUAUCUGACAUAGGGGAUUCUCCUGUCCUCAAAGCCUCCAAGCACCAUUUUCCUGGAAACAUUCUGGCUCACUCCUGGCAGUAAUGGAGUAAACCGACUCAGAGAACUAUAGCCCUAGGUUCGGGGCGUUAGGAAAGUGGUCAGGAUAGCAGCAACACUGGAAGGGUAGUUCAUCAAGGAAAGAGCCCAAAUAUCAAGGAGGAACAUAACAGAAAGGGAUUAAUUUAAGGUUUUUUUUCUACUUUUGUGUUUAUGAAGUGUAUAGUGCAUUAGUUCCUAAAUAUUGAAGACCUUAGCUAGACGAACUCCUUUUAACUACAUUCACAAAUUUACACUUUCCAGUGAAUAAAGAACUUGGUGAUAACAAGGAACAUCAACAAAUUUGGAGACUUCAUAGUUCCCUUAGUUUUACUAUAUGAGAAAUGGAAAUGAGUUCAUACAUAAGAUGUAUACUACUCGGGUGAUGGGUGCACCAAAAUCUCACAAAUCACCACUAAAGAAC
rnacentral:lncRNA from 10 species